rnacentral:rRNA from 1 species
GCCUACCAUGCAGUCGAGCGGCAGCACGGGAAGCUUGCUUCCUGGUGGCGAGCGGCGGACGGGUGAGUAAUGCAUAGAAAUCUGCCCGGUAGUGGGGGAUAACCUGGGGAAACCCAGGCUAAUACCGCAUACGUCCUACGGGAGAAAGCAGGGGAUCUUCGGACCUUGCGCUAUCGGAUGAGUCUAUGUCGGAUUAGCUUGUUGGUGAGGUAAUGGCUCACCAAGGCGACGAUCCGUAGCUGGUCUGAGAGGAUGAUCAGCCACAUCGGGACUGAGACACGGCCCGAACUCCUACGGGAGGCAGCA